AUCGCUUCUGGGCCCUUUUUGGCUAAGAUCAAAGUGUAUAUCUGUUCUUAUCAGUUUAAUAUCUGAUACGAUCCCCCUGUGGGACUACGAUAUUAACUGAUUUUGGAAAUGGCGAAGUGCUAGGGGCUUGCUCCACCUUUGCCACGGAUCGGCCCGGUAUUGCAGUAACCUCCGGGAUUUGGGCCACUCCUC